rnacentral:sRNA from 1 species
GAUGUAAGAUCUGGCUGCAACAUCUGUCAUCUCAUUGAUUGCUAGGGUUGAUUCGGCUGAUCUGUCUAAGAGGGUGUCCCCUUUCUCCCUCACCACUC